rnacentral:lncRNA from 1 species
GCCAUUCCCAACUGGCAAAGACGCAGCCACUACCACUGAUUACCAAGUGUCUACGCACCUUUGCAAUCAAAGUAGGGCGAGCAUAUUUUCUCACGGCAAAAGGAGCAGAUAUGAGUACUGGCCUUUUGAAACUCAAAAACUUCCUAUUAACUCCCCAGGAUUAGGUUCCAGGUAUCUUCCAGGGUUAUUUUGUACUUUUAUAAUAAUCACAUCAAUUUUGAUAGUCUUUCAAAAGAAAACUUACGAUUUGAUGACCACACCUUUUUCAAAUCUUUUCAUGAAAUACAUGUCAUGGAGACAAAUAUACAUACAUAUAUAUAUAUAUAUAAAAUGUGUGAUUCCUUGGGUUCAAUCCUCAACACCACAUAAAAAGUCUACUUCUAGGGUUUCAUCAUUCCUUUGUUCAUCAAGCAUUUCUGGGUCCAUAGUCAUGCUGGGUCCUGCUGGGUUCUAGGGACAUGAGGGAAGCUGGGGGUGGUGGGGGUGGUGUGACAAGUGAACAGGGCCCCCGGGUUCAAUCCCCAGUACCACACAAAUGCACUUGCAAAGCAAUCAGAUUAUAGGUCACAGAUAAUAUCUUAACUUUUUUUUCAGUACUGGGGAUUGAACCCAGGGAAUCACACAUGGUAGGCAAGCACUCUACAUUGAGCUACCUCCUCUGCAUUUUUUAUCUUAUUCUGGGAGAGUCUUGCUAAAUUGCUUAGACUGGGCUCAAAUAUGCAAUCCUGCCUCAGACUUCUGAAUAGGGGUUAUAAGCAUGUGCCACCAGGCCCAACUGGUCUUAACACAUUUUUAAAUCAGAAACUGUAUACUUUGCAUUUGCUGAUAUUAUGCAAUGGAAAUAGGAACUGACAAUAUAUCUCUAAAAUAAUGAUCCAUCUAGAAAUUUUGUUACAGAUGGACAGAAUAUUUGUUUAUUUUUAUGUGGUGCUAAGGAUCCAUCUAGAAAUUUUUAAAUAAAUUCAUAUGUUCUCUGAUUCACUUUUACUUAAAAUAUAAUAUGUACCAGAAAUAAUGUUAAACCAACAUGUUCAAAAUGUUUGGGACAGACAGGGUCAGAGGAGCACUCACAAGGCAUUUAUUUAAAUUGCUUUAAAUACUUUUAUUAAGAGGAAGAAAAGGGACUGGGAAUGUGGCUCUGUGGUGGAGCCACAGUGCCUGGCAUUUGUGAGGCACUGGGUUCUAUUUUCAGCACCACAUAUAAAUAAAUGAAUAAAAUAAAGGUCCAUAAGGACUGGGGCUGUAGCUCAGUGACAGAGUGCUUGCCUACUAGCCUACUAGAGUGCUUACUACUAGCAUGUGUGAGGCACUGGGUGCGAUCUUUAGCACCACAUAAAAAUAAACAAAUAAAAUAAAGGCAUCUGUCCAUCUGUAACAAAAUAAU